AAGUUUGGACAAUUGAGGACACUCUGAGCCACCCGUCUGGCGUGUACGAUGAAGGCCUUCGGGUUGUAUAGUUCUUUUGGCAGUGACGAAAAGGUACCUCCUAAUACCUGGAGCUGCUUACGGGAACUGCAGAAUAAACAGCGUCGAACGACGUCCCAGCAGCCGCGGUAAUACGCAGGGUGCAAGCGUUAAUCGGAAUUACUGGGCGUAAAGCGUGCGCAGGCGGUUCGGCAAGAAGGAUGUGAAAUCCAAGAGCUUAACCUUGGAACGGCAUUCUUAGCUGCCGGGCUAGAGUAUGUCAGAGGGGGGUAGAAUUCCGCGUGUAGCAGUGAGAUGCGUAGAGAUGCGGAGGAAUACCGAUGGCGAAGGCAGCACCCUGAGAUAAUACUGACGCUCAUGCAGGAAAGCGUGGGGAGCAACCAG
rnacentral:rRNA from 1 species